rnacentral:tRNA from 1 species
UCUCUAGUAGCUCAGUCGGUAAAGAGUCUGCCUGCAAUGCAGGAGACCUGGGUUCAACCCCUGGGUUGGGAA